GUGUCAGCCGCCGUGGUAAUACGGAGGAUCCAAGCGUUAUCCGGAAUCAUUGGGUUUAAAGGGUCCGUAGGCGGUUUAGUAAGUCAGUGGUGAAAGCCCAUCGCUCAACGAUGGAACGGCCAUUGAUACUGCUAGACUUGAAUUACUAGGAAGUAACUAGAAUAUGUAGUGUAGCGGUGAAAUGCUUAGAUAUUACAUGGAAUACCAAUUGCGAAGGCAGGUUACUACUAGUGGAUUGACGCUGAUGGACGAAAGCGUGGGGAGCGAACAGGAUUAGAAACCCGCGUAGUCC
rnacentral:rRNA from 1 species